rnacentral:lncRNA from 13 species
AUGGAAGCCCUAGGUAAGACAUAUAUUAAGGAACCAAGACUCAGAGGCUCCCACCACUGUGCUCACCAGAACUGUGACAAGAACUUAUGCAACAUAAACCUCUCAUCUCAGGAAGUUCGCAGGAGACAAGUGCGGACAGCUGAACCUCACCCCACUGGAGAACAAACGGAACAAGCGAGGCGCCCCAACCGGAACCCCGGGCGGACUGUGAAACCAAGUUUGUUUAAUUUAUGAGAUUCUGGGGAGCCGUGAUGAGAGAAAAGAAAUCAAGGAUAUCCUUUUAAGUUCUGAUGAAACUGUGAAAACUCUUCUAAAAAAAUGCACAUACACUCAAUAUUUUGCAUGUAAUUUAAGUAAAAGCAUUGACUCUGAAACCUGAAGAUUUCUUAUGAGAUUUAGAGCCUAGGUCCCAGUUUCUUAACAGAUAAAAGGAUCAUUUGUUUCUCCUCCUACAACAUUUAGUGAAUGUAGGCUGACUGAGUCUCCAACAUGGUAUGAUGUAAUCAUCUCAACACUAGGCUGCAGUAUUUACCAUGGAGGAGAGAACAGCAUGAGUUAGUAUGGACCACCUCUAAAAUUUCC